rnacentral:rRNA from 1 species
AUGAAGGAGUGGUGGGCAAGCACCUGCGCCGAUGGCACGCCGAACCGCCAAGCCAAGGCCUCCCUCAUCAUGCUCGUCUCAUGGAUAAUUUGGAACGAGCGUAAUGCAAGAGUGUUCAAAUAUAAGAGUGCUCCACCGCCAAUCUUGCUCUCCUCCAUCGCCACCGAGGCCAACCUUUGGGUCGUCGCCGGUGCAAAGAAGUUAGGGUCUUUUAUUUCACGCGAGUAA